rnacentral:rRNA from 1 species
GACUCUCGGCAACGGAUAUCUCGGCUCAUGCAUCGAUGAAGAACGUAGCGAAAUGCGAUACUUGGUGUGAAUUGCAGAAUCCCGUGAACCAUCGAGUCUUUGAACGCAAGUUGCGCCCGAAGCCAUCAGGCCGAGGGCACGUCUGCCUGGGCGUCACGC